rnacentral:rRNA from 1 species
CCUACGGGAGGCAGCAGUGGGGAAUAUUGCACAAUGGGGGAAACCCUGAUGCAGCGACGCCGCGUGAGUGAAGACGUAUUUCGGUAUGUAAAGUUCUGUCAGCAGGGAAGAAAAUGACGAUACCUGACUAAGAAGCCCCGGCUAACUACGUGCCAGCAGCCGCGGUAAUACGUAGGGGGCAAGCGUUAUCCGGAUUUACUGGGUGUAAAGGGAGCGUAGACGGCAGGGCAAGUCUGGAGUGAAAGGCGGGGGCUCAACACCGGGACUGCUUUGGAAACUGCCAGGCUGGAGUGCAGGAGAGGUAAGUGGAAUUCCUAGUGUAGCGGUGAAAUGCGUAGAUAUUAGGAGGGACACCAGUGGCGAAGGCGGCUUACUGGACUGUAACUGACGUUGAGGCUCGAAAGCGUGGGGAGCAAACAGGAUUAGAUACCCUGGUAGUC